rnacentral:rRNA from 1 species
AUUGAACGCUGGCGGCAUGCUUUACACAUGCAAGUCGAACGGUAACAGGCCGCAAGGUGCUGACGAGUGGCGAACGGGUGAGUAAUGCAUCUGAACGUUCCCAUUCUUUGGGGAUAACUCUUCGGAAGAGUAGCUAAUACCCCAUACGUUUUAUGGAUGAAAUCGGUGGACCUUAAGGCCUCGCGCGAUUGGAGCUGCCGAUGUCCGAUUAGGUAGUUGGUGGGGUAAAGGGUCACCACGCCAACGAUCUGUAGCUGGUCUGAGAGGACGACCAGCCACACUGGGACUGAGACACGGCCCAGACUCCUACGGGAGGCAGCAGUGGGGAAUUGUGGACAAUGGGAGGAAGCAUGAUCCAGCAAAGCCGCGUGGAGGAAGAAGGCCUUCGGGUUGUAAACUGCUUUUGUACGGAACGAAACGGAACUGGUUAAUACCCGGGGCUAAUGACGGUACCGUAAGAAUAAGCACCGGCUAACUACGUG